AACUACUGGAAACGGUAGCUAAUACCGCAUAACGUCGCAAGACCAAAGAGGGGGACCUUCGGGCCUCUUGCCAUCGGAUGUGCCCAGAUGGGAUUAGCUAGUAGGUGGGGUAAAGGCUCACCUAGGCGACGAUCCCUAGCUGGUCUGAGAGGAUGACCAGCCACACUGGAACUGAGACACGGUCCAGACUCCUACGGGAGGCAGCAGUGGGGAAUAUUGCACAAUGGGCGCAAGCCUGAUGCAGCCAUGCCGCGUGUAUGAAGAAGGCCUUCGGGUUGUA
rnacentral:rRNA from 1 species